rnacentral:rRNA from 1 species
UUGCUGYUUYGCUGACGAGUGGCGGACGGGUGAGUAAUGUCUGGGAAACUGCCUGAUGGAGGGGGAUAACUACUGGAAACGGUAGCUAAUACCGCAUAACGUCGCAAGACCAAAGAGGGGGACCUUCGGGCCUCUUGCCAUCGGAUGUGCCCAGAUGGGAUUAGCUWGUWGGUGGGGUAACGGCUCACCWAGGCGACGAUCCCUAGCUGGUCUGAGAGGAUGACCAGCCACACUGGAACUGAGACACGGUCCAGACUCCUACGGGAGGCAGCAGUGGGGAAUAUUGCACAAUGGGCGCAAGCCUGAUGCAGCCAUGCCGCGUGUAUGAAGAAGGCCUUCGGGUUGUAAAGUACUUUCAGCGGGGAGGAAGGGAGUAAAGUUAAUACCUUUGCUCAUUGACGUUACCCGCAGAAGAAGCACCGGCUAACUCCGUGCCAGCAGCCGCGGUAAUACGGAGGGUGCAAGCGUUAAUCGGAAUUACUGGGCGUAAAGCGCACGCAGGCGGUUUGUUAAGUCAGAUGU